AGACCCGAAACCCGGUGAUCUAGCCAUGGGCAGGUUGAAGGUUGGGUAACACUAACUGGAGGACCGAACCGACUAAUGUUGAAAAAUUAGCGGAUGACCUGUGGCUGGGGGUGAAAGGCCAAUCAAACCGGGAGAUAGCUGGUUCUCCCCGAAAGCUAUUUAGGUAGCGCCUCGUGAAUUCAUCUCCGGGGGUAGAGCACUGUUUCGGCUAGGGGGCCAUCCCGGCUUACCAACCCGAUGCAAACUGCGAAUACCGGAGAAUGUUAUCACGGGAGACACACGGCGGGUGCUAACGUCCGUCGUGAAGAGGGAAACAACCCAGACCGCCAGCUAAGGUCCCAAAGUCAUGGUUAAGUGGGAAACGAUGUGGGAAGGCCCAGACAGCCAGGAUGUUGGCUUAGAAGCAGCCAUCAUUUAAAGAAAGCGUAAUAGCUCACUGGUCGAGUCGGCCUGCGCGGAAGAUGUAACGGGGCUAAACCAUGCACCGAAGCUGCGGCAGCGACAUUUAGGUGUUGUUGGGUAGGGGAGCGUUCUGUAAGCCUGCGAAGGUGGCCUGUGAGGGUUGCUGGAGGUAUCAGAAGUGCGAAUGCUGACAUAAGUAACGAUAAAGCGGGUGAAAAGCCCGC
rnacentral:rRNA from 1 species